GGAUAGAGGAGCAGGCAUAAGGCACGACCUACGUCAGCCAGCAAAGCCUUGUUUAGCCACACCCCCAAGGGAACUCAGCAGUAAUAGACAUUAAGCAAUAAGUGUAAACUUGACUUAAUUAAAACCAAUCAGGGCCGGUGAAACUCGUGCCAGCCGCCGCGGUUAUACGAGAGGCCCAAGUUGAUAACCGCCGGCGUAAAAGGUGGAACUACGAAGAAGAAAAAUAAAGCCGAAUGCCCUCAAGACUGUUAUAAGUUUUCGAGGAAUAGAAGCCUACCAACGAAAGUGGCUUUAAAAACUGUAUAAUCCACGAAAGCUAGGGAACAAACUGGGAUUAGAUACCCCACUAUGCCUAGCCAUAAACACAAGUGAAAUCUUCACAACCCCGCUUGCCAGGGAAUUACGAGCGUGAGCUUAAAACCCAAAGGACUUGGCGGUGCUUUAGACCCCCCUAGAGGAGCCUGUUCUAUAACCGAUAAUCCCCGUUAAACCUCACCCUCUCUUGUUCUCCCC
rnacentral:rRNA from 1 species